UACGUAGGGGGCAAGCGUUAUCCGGAUUUAUUGGGCGUAAAGAGCUCGUAGGCGGCUGAUCGCGUCGGUUGUGAAAGCUCAGGGCUCAACCCUGAGACGCCAAUCGAUACGGAUCGGCUAGAGGUAGGUAGGGGAAAGUGGAAUUCCGGGUGUAGCGGUGGAAUGCGUAGAGAUCCGGAAGAACACCGGAGGCGAAGGCGGCUUGCUGGGCUCUGUCUGACGCUGAGGCGCGAAAGCGUGGGGAGCGAACAGG
rnacentral:rRNA from 1 species